GAUGAACGCUGGCGGCGUGCCUAAUACAUGCAAGUCGAGCGAACAGACGAGGAGCUUGCUCCUCUGACGUUAGCGGCGGACGGGUGAGUAACACGUGGAUAACCUACCUAUAAGACUGGGAUAACUUCGGGAAACCGGAGCUAAUACCGGAUAAUAUAUUGAACCGCAUGGUUCAAUAGUGAAAGACGGUUUUGCUGUCACUUAUAGAUGGACCCGCGCCGCAUUAGCUAGUUGGUAAGGUAACGGCUUACCAAGGCAACGAUGCGUAGCCGACCUGAGAGGGUGAUCGGCCACACUGGAACUGAGACACGGUCCAGACUCCUACGGGAGGCAGCAGUAGGGAAUCUUCCGCAAUGGGCGAAAGCCUGACGGAGCAACGUCGCGUGAGUGAUGAAGGUCUUCGGAUCGUAAAACUCUGUUAUUAGGGAAGAACAAAUGUGUAAGUAACUAUGCACGUCUUGACGGUACCUAAUCAGAAAACCACGGCUAACUACGU
rnacentral:rRNA from 1 species